UCUUUCCUUGCCUUUCCUUUCCACACUUUCCUCUCUGCAAAUGCUCCGUUUCUAGGGCUUGCUUGUUUACAGUUUCUAUGCAAGUUUGUGUUCCUUCAUCUUCACCUUCUAUGUUCCGCUACUGCUAUUGCAAGCUCUUCAAGCCCUCUUGUCGCUGUUUCUUCUGUUGCUACCGUUGUUCCCAACCUUAAUCCCUAAGAAAAAUUCACCUUCUUAUAUAUUUAUUCUGCUAUGGAGUCUGACCUAUCUCUAGGGUUUGCAUCAAGCACGACGACCUCCCACCGUGCUCAAAUCGCCGACGAUUCCAUCUCUCUCCAGCUCGAUUCCAGCUUCCGCGACCCUUCUCUCCCUGUCUCAUCGGUUCCUCUUCAAUUGCUGGAGCCACUAGUGGACAAUCAUCAUCAACAACGUAGUCAUGAAAACGGCAAUAUAGAUGGGCAAAACGACGUUGAUGAGAAAACUGAAGAAGAAGAAGAAGAAGAUGAGAAG
rnacentral:misc_RNA from 1 species